GGGCCCGUGGCGCAGCUGGGAGCGCGCGUGAAUCGCACUCACGAGGUCAGGGGUUCGAAUCCCCUCGGGUCCACCA
rnacentral:tRNA from 1 species